AUUGAACGCUGGCGGCAUGCUUUACACAUGCAAGUCGAACGGUAACAGGCCUUCGGGUGCUGACGAGUGGCGAACGGGUGAGUAAUGCAUCGGAACGUGCCCAGAGGUGGGGGAUAACGCAGCGAAAGCUGUGCUAAUACUGCAUGUGAUCUGAGGAUGAAAGCGGGGGACCAAGCAGCAAUGUUUGGCCUCGCGCCUCUGGAGCGGCCGAUGUCAGAUUAGGUAGUUGGUGGGGUAAAGGCCUACCAAGCCGACGAUCUGUAGCUGGUCUGAGAGGACGACCAGCCACACUGGGACUGAGACACGGCCCAGACUCCUACGGGAGGCAGCAGUGGGGAAUUUUGGACAAUGGGCGCAAGCCUGAUCCAGCAAUGCCGCGUGCGGGAAGAAGGCCUUCGGGUUGUAAACCGCUUUUGUACGGAACGAAAAGGCUCUGGCUAAUACCUGGGGCUGAUGACGGUACCGUAAGAAUAAGCACCGGCUAACUACGUG
rnacentral:rRNA from 1 species